UACGAAGGUGGCAAGCGUUGUUCGGAUUUACUGGGCGUACAGGGAGCGUAGGCGGUUGGAUAAGCCCUCCGUGAAAUCUCCAGGCUUAACCUGGAAAGUGCAGAGGGGACUGUUCAGCUAGAGGAUGGGAGAGGAGCGCGGAAUUCCCGGUGUAGCGGUGAAAUGCGUAGAGAUCGGGAGGAAGGCCGGUGGCGAAGGCGGCGCUCUGGAACAUUCCUGACGCUGAGGCUCGAAAGCGUGGGGAGCAAACAGG
rnacentral:rRNA from 1 species